rnacentral:rRNA from 1 species
AACGAACGCUGGCGGCAGGCCUAACACAUGCAAGUCGAGCGAGAUCUUCGGGUCUAGCGGCGGACGGGUAAGUAACGCGUGGGAAUAUGCCCUUCUCUGCGGAAUAGCCUCGGGAAACUGAGCGUAAUACCGCAUACGCCCUUUGGGGGAAAGAUUUAUCGGAGAAGGAUUAGCCCGCGUUGGAUUAGGUAGUUGGUGGGGUAACGGCCUACCAAGCCGACGAUCCAUAGCUGGUUUGAGAGGAUGAUCAGCCACACUGGGACUGAGACACGGCCCAGACUCCUACGGGAGGCAGCAGUGGGGAAUCUUAGACAAUGGGGGCAACCCUGAUCGAGCCAUGCCGCGUGAGUGAUGAAGGCCUUAGGGUUGUAAAGCUCUUUCAGCUGGGAAGAUAAUGACGGUACCAGCAGAAGAAGCCCCGGCUAACUCCGUG